CCGAGAAGGAAAAUGGCGGGCACAAGAGCAGCAGCGAUGAAGCUGGCGGUCGUCCUCCUGGCCAUGAGCCAGCUCGUCCACAUGGCGACCCCGACGGCGGAUCCAAUGACUACUGCGUCAUCGUCUCUACUGGUUACGAGCGUCUCCGGCCCUUCCGACGGGGAACAUAAACCCAGCCAUGGCAUCAGGGAAGAGAAGGUGUUGCUCAACGCGCCCAACAUCCCUGCAGUUCCGCCCCCUCCCCACCUCGUCCUACCGUGCAAGGGAAGAGCGUGUUGACCUCACGGGGAGGAUGACGAGAUCAAAUGCACGCAGAUGGACUCAAGUGUGCCAAGACAAUAAAAAGCCACGUUGUUCUACAUAAGUCGUGUACUCCAUGUUUACGAUCGACCGAUGGAAUAAAUAAACGGAACCUUGUUUUGGAACAAGUUU